CCGAGUUAGGGUUCCUCUCACGGGCCCGACCUCCCAACCCUGUGUCUACCACACCUUGUCGUUGCUUCGGCGGACCGGUUUCGACUCCCCUGCUCCCAGGGGGGUUUGUGACCGCCGGGGGUGUUUUUUCACCCCGGGAGAGCGUCCGCCGAUGGCCCAACCACAACUCUUUGUCCCCAAACAGGUCGUCUAAAGCAAUACUUGAGAUAAUCAAAAAAACA
rnacentral:misc_RNA from 1 species